UUUCCGUAGGUGAACCUGCGGAAGGAUCAUUACAGUAGUCGCCCGGGUUGCCGCAAGGCCUCCCGGGUAACCUACCACCCUUUGUUUAUUACACUUUGUUGCUUUGGCAGGCCUGCCCUCGGGCUGCUGGCUCCGGCCGGCGAGCGCUUGCCAGAGGACCUAAACUCUGUUUGUCUAUACUGUCUGAGUACUAUAUAAUAGUUAAAACUUUCAACGACGGAUCUCUUGGUUCUG
rnacentral:misc_RNA from 1 species